rnacentral:lncRNA from 1 species
ACGUCAGUGCUCAGAUGUCUGGGCUCUGGGGCUGGGCAGACUUCUCUGGGAACCGUGCUCUCCUCUGAGUGGGCUUCCCUGGCCCUCCCAGGGGUCAGUGCUGCGGUCAGGCUCCUAGUCUGUCCCCCGCCAGGUUCACCUCCCUGGGGCUCCUGGAGACCCCUCAGGUGGGCUACCUGGUAUUUAUUCCAAUUUUCCAGCACAUUCAGGGUUAAUAGAGAGGCAGGUUCACCUGGUGAAUUGGUUCCAGGGCAAAGGGGUCGGGCAAAAAGUCAAUGGGCAGCAGGUGAGGUUGCUGCUGUGAUCUCCUUCCAGUCCACUCUCUCCUCCGAACAGAACAGAGCUGCCCCUCGUCUUUCAGCCCAGCUCUCCUGUUUUCUUGGAGAAGGCAAUGGCAACCCACUCCAGUACUCUUGCCUGGAAAAUCCCAUGGAUGGAGGAGCCUGGUAGGCUGCAGUCCAUGGGGUCGCUAAGAGUCGGACACGACUGAGCAACUUCACUUUCACUUUUCACUUUCACGCAUUGGAGGAGGAAAUGGCAACCCACUCCAGUGUUCUUGCCUGGAGAAUCCCAGGGACGGCAGGGCCUAGUGGGCUGCCAUCUAUGGGGUUGCACAGAGUCGGACAUGACUGAAGCGACUUAGCAGCAGCAGCAGCAGCAGGAGCUCCUGUUUUCUCAGCAUCUCAGCGGGACAAGAAAGAGCCCGCCGGAACUAAGGUAGUGUGUUCACCUCUAGCAUGAGCUUUCAAACCAGAAAAAAAUCACACAGAACCAAAAUGAAAACAGGAGGGGCCUGACUUCUCAGGGACAAUUGAGGGGAGAGGAGAUGGACCCUACACUUCUUUCUAGGGUCCUAGAGGUCCCAGGGACCUGGCUUGGUUACACAUUGGAGGCCCACUGACCACAGCCAUGGUGUCCUGACCAAGGGGAUGUGUGAUCCCAGGUUGGGGGGUCAGGAGACUGUGCGAGUCUCACCUCAUCUCCACGGGUCAGGAUCAUGUGUGUGGGGAGACCAUACACACAAAGCUAAGAAAAAGGGGAGAAUACAUGUGCACUUCACUUGUGUUUAGGAAUUAAUGCUUUACGGUGUUCACUUUAUACAGGCCUGUGCCUGUUUUCUUCUUACCCUCUCGAGGUUCACCCUCCCUGGGGCUCCUGAAGACUUCUCAGGUGUCUCUACCUGGUAAUCAU